UUUUGAUCUCUCACUGAGUUCAGCUUGGAUCUAUAUCUAUAGCGCGGAGAUCGGAGCUGUAGACAAACUUCGAUCAUCCUAUUUUGUCGGCGAGAUUGUGUUACUAAAAGAUUUUUUUAAAGGGUUCAAUCAGCUUCUUUUUUAGGUAGUUUAUGCAUUUAAAGUGUGCUCGUUCUCACUCGAAAAAAAAAGCGUGUUCGUUCGCUCAACAUGUUGUCAGUGGAAGACUGGAACGGC
rnacentral:lncRNA from 1 species